rnacentral:sRNA from 1 species
UGCCCUGCGCUCACAUAGUCUCUAACAAUUCUUCUGCAUAGCUCUUAACAUUCUCCCACUCCAUGCUCUGCACUUGUAUAGUCUCUAACAAUUCUUCCGCAUAGCCCUCAAUGAUUCUCUCCCCCCACACUUCAUGCUUGUGUAGUUUCUAACAAUUCUUCUGUGUAGCUCUCAAUGAUUCUUCCACCCCAUGCUCUGCACUUGUGUAGUUUCUAAUGAUUCUUCUGUGUAGUUCUUAACAUUCUUUCACUCCAUGCUCCACUGUGGAGCAGCUUCUGAUAUUCUUCCACCUCAAAUUUCCCUCUAUAAGAACCCUCUUCAUACAACCUUUUCUUCUGAUUUCUUUUCUCUUUCUUUUCUUAAUCAAUUCAUAAUCUGUAUUAGAAUAGUGCU